UCUAAUGGACAUAAAUCAUUUGUGCUUCUUGUCUUUCUUUGUUUUCCUCUCCUCUCUUCUUCGUUUAUUCCUUUUCAUCCAUUAUCUCUCUCUGCAACUGCUGAUGGCUUCACCCUCCUCACCACCACCAUUGAUCCGAGAAAAACAGUGAUGAAACAUGAAGGAUAAGUGGUAGUGUAACAGAGCAGACAGUGAAGAGGACAACGAUGGUGGAGAGGAACCACCACAACCUUGAACAAGUCUUAUGUGGAUGGUUUCUUCCGAAUCAGCGGCGGAGAGAGGAGGCGUGAAGAACUUGAGGUGGCGAUGGAGUUAUGUGAGGUGGUGAGCUUUUUGCUUAGAUUGUAGCUCUAGAUUUAAAAAGAGGAGGGAGAAGAAGAAAUUAAAGGAGUAGAGGAGGAGAUGUGAACGGAGUGGAAGGAGACCAGGCAGAGACGUAACCGGACUAGAAAGAGGCGAGGAGGAGAUGUGACUUGAGUGGAACGAGACGAGGCGGAUACCUGACCAAAGUUACGCCGAUGUCGGCUCGCCGCUUCGCCAAUGUCGUCAAAGCCACGCCCGUGGUGGUUUUGUAUAAUAUUUACAUAUACCCAUGUAUUUAGAUUUGUAUUUUAUAACAAAUACGUAUACAUUUUUGGUUUAAUAUAAUUUAUAUUAUUUAAUAAAUAAUUAAUUGAAAA